AUGGUGGGAGGCUUCACGCAUCUGGGGGUGCUCGGGGAGGGGAGCCGUGGGGCGUGCAGGAGCUGGUCUCGCCCCCGCGCUGGGGGGAUUGCCUGGGAGCAAGCCCCACAGCAGGGCCGCGGGGUACCCGCCGUCUCCUCGGGGAGCCCGGGCGCGGGGCCGGGGGGCAGCGGCGGGGGACGGAGGACGCUGGCUCCCAGCAAGAUGCCGAGGGGCCGCCGCAGCAACCCCGCGCUUCCAUCCCGCCUCCGCCCUGCAUGCUCCGACCCCAGACGCCUGCCGGGGACGCGAGGCCAAGGGCGGCAGCGGGCAGAGCGGCGCCCGCCUCGCCCUCCUCCCAGGCUGCUUCUGCUCCCCGCUUUGCUACCGGCCGCCACGCAGCCUCCAUCGCCGACAGCAGGCCCUGCCUCUGCCCAUCUCCCGCAGCCUCCCGGACCUUUUGGGGCAGCCUCCUGCCGGCGUUCGGCGCUCCCCGGGACCCCCCCUCCUGCCCGCCGCCCACCCGGGCAGCGCUGGGGUGCGGCGGGCGGCCCCGAGAGUCUCCCUUGCUUCUCUCCAAACCCGCUGCUGCCGCUGCCCAUCCGAGCCCACACUAACCAUGUGAUUGUUUUGUGUUUUCGCAGGCAGUUUCUUGAUUCGGAUAUGCCUAGGUAUUAUUUGUUUCCAUUGGUUUUUUUUCCACCCCCUCUCUGCUCUUCCCCUCUCUCUCCCCCGCACCUCAGCACUCUCACUCCCGCCGGCGGCGGCACUUGGGUGUCCAGCCCCCCCCCUCCACAUCUUCCUCCUCUCACCACAUCCCGGGCACCUCUCUCUUUCUCUCUCUCACGCCACCCCUUCCCCGCGGGUUUUGCUGUUUGUUUGGAUCGCGAUCUCGCUCCUCCUCGCUCUCGCUCUCGCUGGCCUGUGCUCCCAUCGCCUGGUUUUGGUUUUGUUCUUGCCUUUUCACUUCGCUGCUCUCCGGCAUCCGGCCAGGGACCCGUGGCUCCGUCCCCCCCUGCUCCUGCCCCGGCCCUGCGUGGGGAGGGUGCUGGGGACCCAUGCUGGGUGCUGGGCUGCGUGGGAGCGCGUGCGUGUCGUACGCACACCCCGCAGCCACUGUGGGGGCCGCCAGCACCCGCGCAGCCCUCCUGCGUGCGUAGGUGCAGCGUACACACAAUGGGGUGGCUACGCUGGGGAGACUGGGGCUGGGGUCUGCCAAGUGCCACCUGCAGCGUCCAGGGGCUGGUACCGCUUGGGGAUGCCAGGGGACAUCUGUCUGUCUGUCUGUGCCUCCGGUGGCACCCUGUCCUAGCAGGGUGCUCGGGGACGGCACAGGUGGCUGUAGGAGCGCGUGGGCUUGCCCUGGUGCUGCCCAUGGGGCUGCUGCAGGGUGACGCUCACCUGGUGAGAUGGGGAAGGUUGAGGAAACCCCUCCUGCUGCCUGGGCAGAGGCAGGCGAGCUGCUCUGCCCUGCCAGGCCUGAGCACGGACACCUUGCAGGCCCCAGGAGAGCAGAGAGGCUGUUCCGAGACCUGCCGCCUCCUCAGGGGUCCUGCAGAGACGGCAGAGUUCAGGGAGGAAGGUGUGGGGCUGCGGAGGGUUUUCUGCAACACCCCUAACGCGGGUAAACCUCGGGAUUGCUCUGCUGAGCUCUUUAAGGCCCCUGAUUUGGGGGCUGUGCCAGCAGGAGCCAUCAGGGGAACGCGAGUGACGACGCAAAGCUUGGUGUCAAAGCCCCGCGUGGUGCAGGAGAUGGCCUCCAUGGCACGGGAGAUGGCCACCGUGCCUGCUGGGGAAUUCCCUACGUGA
rnacentral:lncRNA from 1 species